UUCCUCUCUCUGCGCCCUCCCCCUGCUCGUGCUUGCUCUCUCAAAAAUAAACAUAAAAAAAAAAACAAAAAACAAAAAACACCUGCUGUCAAAGUAGGUGUGAACAGGACAACUAGGAUUUGGGGGGAUCCAGUAAAAAUUCCACACUUGGAUUGCUUCGCUCAAGUCUUAAGUUCUCUUUCUUCUUUAAAGAGACAGGGACUCAAGAAGACAGCUGUAGAUUUCCCAUCGGAGGGUCCAUACUCCCAAGAACAGGCGCUCAUCUUUACAGACCAGCAUUUGCACCAGAUAUCAUAACUGAGGGAAGUUACUGCAGAUGUGACUGUCCUCUUCAUAAAAGAAGCGACUGGGAAAAGAUUAGAAAUGCAGGUACUUCUUUGUUUCUGCACGUUUGUUAUGCAUUUGCAGUUGUGCCCACUUUCUACUUACGCGUAGGUGCUCGUCCUGUUGCAAAAUCGGAGGGCGUGCUGGCCGGUCCUGUGGGAAGAACAGCAGGCGGGUUUCCUCUUGAGGUUUAUUCUUGUCAGAACAUGAGGCACUACUGAUUUAUUGCAACAAAAUGACAAUACCAUAAAUAAAUGUUCAGCGCAGUGGUCAGUUAGGAACUAAGUGCACCAAAAGGUAAUAGUUUUAGUUAGUAAGUUACUAUAAAAUGUCAUUUUAAGAUGACUCUCUUCACAAAGACACAGAUCAUGCCUACAUAAAAAUAUAUAUAGGACCUCUGUGAAGAAAACUCUUUACAUGCAGUGUUUUUAAAAGCUUACUUAUUUUGAGAGAGAGAAUCCCAAGCAGGCUCUGCGUGGUCAGCACAGAGUGCAACACAGGGCUCGAACUCACAAACUUUUGAGAUCGUGACUUGAGCUGAAAUCAAGAGUCGGAUGCUUAACUGACGGAGGGAGGCACUCUUUUUUUGCAUGAGGAGGCAUUGUUCACCAAAGUCUCCCCCAGAGUAUGAAUUUAAUAAAAUCCAAAAUAGUGUCUGCA